GUUAGGGACUAUAAAAGUCAGUCUGGUUCUGCAAAAAAUUCAGAAUCUCCGUACUUACCGUGCAGCUCCCUAGUGUCCGCCACAAUGACUUCUUUUCUGUGUCUUGGAAUCGCUCUGAUUUUCAUCUCCGCUGCCCAGGCGCAGUCUGGAGGGUUUUGUCGAUAUGAUUCGGAUUGUCCCAUUGGUUACCAAUGUUUCAAUAACUACUGUCGAGAUAGUAUUAGCUCUCAGAGGUGUCGUUAUGAUUCUGAUUGUUCAUUUGGCGAAGUGUGCAUUAACAGACGGUGUCAAAGAGAUAAUAUAGGAAGAG